UCACAUUAGGCUAAGAGGGGGUAACACCCCUCACCAUUCUCAUUUUUCCUCACACCAAACGACCCCUACGCUCUCCUCUCUUUCCUUUUCUGUGUAAAACCCUAGCGCCGUCUUGACUCUCUCUCUCUCUCAUGCCAAGAAUGGCAAUGGUACAGAAAGUUCUUGCAGCUUUGGUACAACCAAAAGCAUGAAAAAAUUAAUGUUUCAACAUUUUUUCACUCGGAUCCGUCCAAACACGUAUAAAUCUUCUCCUGUUUCACUUUUUCUUUUAGUUUUCUUGAAUCAUAACACGAAUUUUGCAUCUUUGUUGUUAUAAUGGGACUGUACGAACUCGAUUACUAUUGGUUCACUAGGGUUUGGUUUGGACCGACCUAGAAUGGGUCAGAUCCAACUGCACAUGUUUAUCUUUGUAAAUCUUAGCCGUUAAUUUCAUAGUAUUAUGUUUUGCAUCUAAAAAAUCUCUUGGUACCGAAUCGUUUGUUUGGAUCUUUGAAUGAACUUUGGCCCAACCCUCUCACAAGAGGGACAGAGACAGACGGGAAAAAAAGAGAGAGAAAGGAGGAUAAAAAUGAAAAAAAAAAGGUGGAAAAAUCACGGAAAAUGCUUGAGUUUUAAGUUAAACUUGAAAUUUAAGCUUGUUAGUAUAAUUUUAGACUUAAACCCAUAAAAGUUUGAGUCUCCCAGUUCUAAAUUUUUUUGUUUUUACUUUUGUUUUUGUGGCUGAGUUCUGGGAUUGGAAGCAUUAAGGCUCCAAAUUCAACUCUAGAUCCGGCUGCACACAAAAAAGACGGCGAUGGCACAGAUCUGGCCGUGUGUAUUUUUGGUGGCGGCAACGAUUUUGAGAUGGCGGUGGAGAAGAUGACGUGGAGGUGGAGAGAUUAGGGUUUUUUAUGGCGGUGGAGAUUUUUUAGGGGUUUUCCUCUUUCAAAUUUGAGUUUCGUGGACGGGGUGAGGUGGUACUCGAGUUCUUGAUUUUAUCAAUGCUGGGUUGUAAGGCAUUGCUUAAGAAGUAGGUACUAGUGGCAUUCUAUCCUUCUGGUUCAGAUGAAGCUUUUCCUUGAUUUCUAGGCUUAGUUGCUUUUGCCUUGUGCUAUUGUGGAAUUGUUGAGUGAUGACUUGAAUAUGCAGUACAUUGUAACUGGAAAGAAUUUUCAUUUUGUAGGAGGUUUGUGAAAUUGUUAGUGCAGAUGAGAAUUGCAUUUCACUAAAGUGAAUUCUGUACUUUUGCGUCAUUGACCAAGUGCUGAUUUAGCUGUUUGAAGUCACCCUUUAGUUUUGUCGGACGCUAUAAUCAGAUACAAAUACAUUCAAAAAAUUUACAUCUCACAAAUAUACUGUUUUUGAAUGUAUUUAUCUUUGUAUUUUUUGAGAGUAUUUUUGAGUGUAUUUUGUUAAUAGCCAAACACACUAUUUUUGAAUAUAUUUGUCAUGUAUUUGAAUUUUUUUGUCUUGUAUCUGAAUGUAUUUGUUGAAAUCCAUUCAAAUACAUGAAAAUUUGAAUGUA